rnacentral:rRNA from 1 species
CGGCACGCCUAACACAUGCAAGUCGAACGAAGUAGCAAUACUUAGUGGCAGACGGGUGAGUAACAUGUAGGUAUCUACCCUGUGGCCUGGAAUAACACGAGGAAACUUGUGCUAAUACCGGAUAAGUCUUUACGGAGAAAGCUUUAUGCACCAUUGGAUGAGCCUGCACUUGAUUAGUUAGUUGGUAGGGUAAUGGCUUACCAAGACUUUGAUCAAUAGCUGAUUUGAGAGGAUGAUCAGCCACAUUGGGACUGAGACACGGCCCAAACUCCUACGGGAGGCAGCAGUGGGGAAUCUUGCACAAUGGAGGAAACUCUGAUGCAGCGAUGCCGCGUGAGUGAAGAAGGCCCUUGGGUUGUAAAGCUCUUUCGUCGGGGAAGAAAAUGACUGUACCCGAAUAAGAAGGUCCGGCUAACUUCGUGCCAGCAGCCGCGGUAAUACGAAGGGACCUAGCGUAGUUCGGAAUUACUGGGCUUAAAGAGUUCGUAGGUGGUUGAAAAAGUUGGUGGUGAAAUCCCAGAGCUUAACUCUGGAACUGCCAUCAAAACUUUUCAGCUAGAGUUUGAUAGAGGAAAGCAGAAUUUCUAGUGUAGAGGUGAAAUUCGUAGAUAUUAGAAAGAAUACCAAUUGCGAAGGCAGCUUUCUGGAUCAUUACUGACACUGAGGAACGAAAGCAUGGGUAGCGAAGAGGAUUAGAUACCCUCGUAGUCCAUGCCGUAAACGAUGUGUGUUAGACGUUGGAAAUUUAUUUUCAGUGUCGCAGCGAAAGCGAUAAACACACCGCCUGGGGAGUACGAC